GUUACAUGAGAUGUUGACGGCGUCACCAUGACUACUACCGUGGAGCUGACCAUGAACACGGACUAUUAGGACAACAAAAAGAAGUUACAGCAGAAGGCUCUGCAGCAACCUAAGCAGAAGAAAUCCAAGUCGGCUGAAUUUCUGAUGGCAAACGAACGUGGAAGAAAUGACUUUGACCCGUCGUCGGCGGGGCCGACGGACCCAAGGCGGAGCAGCGGCGCAUCGGGGGUCAGCGGCGAAGAUGAGCUUGAAUUAACUACAUUAAAUGCAUGUGGAAAUGGGCAAAGGCGGGCCGUGUCGAAGGAAGAUGACACCUUCAUCGACAUACCUGGUACGUUGUUGCCAUGGUUUCAAAAUACUAUUUUAAACAAAAGCGUACACUGAGG